AUUCUGGUUUUGAUGGAGCAUGGAGCUGUAGGCCAUCCUGGAGGUGAGGAAUGCCCGAACACCCUGGGCCAGAUCACUAUCUUGAUUGCAGAGACAUUGUUUCCUGACCANNN
rnacentral:lncRNA from 1 species